rnacentral:rRNA from 1 species
AUUGAACGCUGGCGGAAUGCUUUACACAUGCAAGUCGAACGGUAGAGGGGGCAACCCCUUGAGAGUGGCGAACGGGUGAGUAAUAUAUCGGAACGUGCCCAGUCGUGGGGGAUAACGUAGCGAAAGUUACGCUAAUACCGCAUACGAUCUAAGGAUGAAAGCGGGGGAUCGCAAGACCUCGCGCGAUUGGAGCGGCCGAUAUCAGAUUAGCUAGUUGGUGGGGUAAAGGCCCACCAAGGCAACGAUCAGUAGCUGGUCUGAGAGGACGAUCAGCCACACUGGGACUGAGACACGGCCCAGACUCCUACGGGAGGCAGCAGUGGGGAA